CAAGCGGUGGAGCAUGUGGUUUAAUUCGAUACUACGCGCAAAACCUUACCAGCCCUUGACAUAUGAACAACAAAACCUGUCCUUAACAGGAUGGUACUGACUUUCAUACAGGUGCUGCAUGGCUGUCGUCAGCUCGUGUCGUGAGAUGUUUGGUCAAGUCCUAUAACGAGCGAAACCCUCGUUUUGUGUUGCUGAGACAUGCGCCUAAGGAGAAAUUGCCACCGAAGUGAGCCGAGGAGCCGAGUGACGUGCCAGCGCUACUACUUGAUUGAGUGCCAGCACGUAGCUGUGCUUUCAGCAAGAAUUUCACCAUUGGGAGCCGGUGCCUUUCGAAGCACUUUCACGUGUGAACCGAAGUCGUCUUGCCCAAGACCCACGGAGACCUACCUAUAGUGACGUCAAAGUACCAGUGAGCAUGGAGGUUUGGUUGAAAUUGGUUACGACGACGUCGAGUUGGCGGCGGAGGAAGACUCGGCAUGAAGGCCAGCCGCCCGGUGGUGUGGUACGUAGUGGUAAUAGUACGCGCCCCGCUCCGAAACAAAGAAAAAGGUGCGUGCCGCACUCACGAGGGACUGCCAGUGAGAUACUGGAGGAAGGUGGGGAUGACGUCAAGUCCGCAUGGCCCUUAUGGGCUGGGCCACACACGUGCUACAAUGGCAAUGACAAUGGGAAGCAAGGCUGUAAGGCGGAGCGAAUCCGGAAAGAUUGCCUCAGUUCGGAUUGUUCUCUGCAACUCGGGAACAUGAAGUUGAAAUCGCUAGUAAUCGCGGAUCAGCAUGCCGCGGUGAAUAUGUACCCGGGCCCUGUACACACCGCCCGUCACACCCUGGGAAUUGGUUUCGCCCGAAGCAUCGGACCAAUGAUCACCCAUGACUUCUGUGUACCACUAGUGCCACAAAGGCCUUUGGUGGUCUUAUUGGCGCAUACCACGGUGGGGUCUUCGACUGGGGUGAAGUCGUAACAAGGUAGCCGUAGGGGAACCUGCGGCUG
rnacentral:rRNA from 1 species